rnacentral:lncRNA from 1 species
CUUCACAAAUAAUGCUAGCCAACAUGUCUACCCUACUGAUUUAACAUUUAUGCAACACAUUUAUCAACUAUUACAAACACAUGUUAUCAAUUACAUGAUAGAAGAGAGAGAAAGUGUACAUUUUUGGCCUAUAUAUUCACCCACACUUGGCCAUAUUUUUCCAAGCUCAAACCUACGAAUUUCUCUUACCCAUAAGCUCAUAAUCAAAGCCCAGCCAUCACAAAUAACAAAUCAGAAGCAUCAAGAAGUCAGAAAUCAAAAAUCAA